rnacentral:tRNA from 1 species
CAGAAGAUAGUUUAAGAUAGAAUAAUAGUUUUGGAGAUUAUAGAUGUUUCGGCUCUUCUGA